rnacentral:rRNA from 1 species
AUUACUGGGCGUAAAGAGCUCGUAGGUGGUUUGUCGCGUUGUUCGUGAAAACUCACAGCUUAACUGUGGGCGUGCGGGCGAUACGGGCAGACUAGAGUACUGCAGGGGAGACUGGAAUUCCUGGUGUAGCGGUGGAAUGCGCAGAUAUCAGGAGGAACACCGGCGGCGAAGGCGGGUCUCUGGGCAGUAACUGACGCUGAGGAGCGAAAGCGUGGGGAGCGAACAGGAUUAGAUACCCUGGUAGUCCACGCCGUAAACGGUGGGUACUAGGUGUGGGUUCCUUCCUUGGGAUCCGUGCCGUAGCUAACGCAUUAAGUACCCCGCCUGGGGAGUACGGCCGCAAGGCUAAAACUCAAAGGAAUUGACGGGGGCCCGCACAAGCGGCGGUGCAUGUGGAUUAAUUCGAUGCAACGCGAAGAACCUUACCUGGGUUUGACAUGCACAGGACGCCGGCAGAGAUGUCGGUUCCCUUGUGGCCUGUGUGCAGGUGGUGCAUG